ensembl:lncRNA
CUCCGCUGUCCCCAGCCUUCGCUCGGAGGCGCAUUCCCUUCUCCAAUGGGGAGGAAAAAAAGGUCAGCGGUAAAAAUUUCGCAGGAACUCCAUCAUUGUCCUCAUGGGACGUGUUUCGUCAGGAGGAGAGAGCCGGGCGUCUCGCUCUGUCGACACAGAUCCACAUCACGAAACGCAUGGAGAGCACCAGCGAUGGAUUUGAAAAUUUACAAGACAUAAAUAUAAGGCAGAGCCUGCCCCGAAUUUCUCAGCAGCCAACUGCUCUGGUUUUACAAGAAGAGGCACUCUGGGAAGUCCAC